rnacentral:rRNA from 1 species
CGGGACGGGUGAGUAAUGUCUGGGAAACUGCCUGAUGGAGGGGGAUAACUACUGGAAACGGUAGCUAAUACCGCAUAACGUCGCAAGACCAAAGAGGGGGACCUUCGGGCCUCUUGCCAUCGGAUGUGCCCAGAUGGGAUUGCUAGUAGGUGGGGUAACGGCUCACCUAGGCGACGAUCCCUAGCUGGUCUGAGAGGAUGACCAGCCACACUGGAACUGAGACACGGUCCAG